CCUACGGGUGGCAGCAGUGAGGAAUAUUGGUCAAUGGCCGGAAGGCUGAACCAGCCAUGCCGCGUGAAGGUCAGUGCCCUAUGGGCGUUAAACUUCUUUUGUGCGGGAGCAAUAAUGGUCACGUGUGGCCAGACGAGAGUACCGUACGAAUAAGCAUCGGCUAACUCCGUGCCAGCAGCCGCGGUAAUACGGGGGGUGCAAGCGUUAUCCGGGUUUUUUGGGUUUAAAGGGUGCUUAGGCUGUGAGGUAAGUCAGCGGGGAAAUGCCCCCGCUCAACGGGGUGAAGUGCCAUUGAUACUGCCAUGCUAGAAUACGGGUGCGGUGGGAGGAAUGUGUGGUGUAGCGGUGAAAUGCAUAGAUAUCACACAGAACACCGAUUGCGAAGGCAUCUGACGAAUCCGCGAUUGACGCUGAUGCACGAAAGCGUGGGUAUCAAACAGGAUUAGAUACCCUGGUAGUC
rnacentral:rRNA from 1 species